ACGCUCGACACCUACGGAGGCAGCAGUGGGGAAUAUUGCACAAUGGGGGAAACCCUGAUGCAGCGACGCCGCGUGGAGGAAGAAGGUCUUCGGAUUGUAAACUCCUGUUGUUGGGGAAAAAGAGGAUGGUACCCAACAAGGAAGUGACGGCUAACUACGUGCCAGCACGCGAGUAUGNGCGGCGNGNGAGAG
rnacentral:rRNA from 1 species